CCUACGGGAGGCAGCAGUGAGGAAUCUUGGUCACUGGACGAGAGCCUGAACCAGCCAAGUAGCGUGAAGGAUGACUGCCCUAUGGGUUGUAAACUUCUUUUAUAAAGGAAUAAAACGAGGCACGUGUGCCUUUUUGCAUGUACUUUAUGAAAACGGAUCGGCUAACUCCGUGCCAGCAGCCGCGGUACUACGGAGGAUACGAGCGUUAUCCGGAUUUCUUGGGUUUAAAGGGAGCGUAGAUGGGUUGUUAAGUCAGUUGUGAAAGUUUGAGGCUCAACCGUAAAAUUGCAAUUGAUACUGGCAGUCUUGAGGACAGUUGAGGUAGGCGGAAUUCGUGGUGUAGCGGUGAAAUGCUUAGAUAUCACGAAGAACCCCGAUUGCGAAGGCAGCUUACUAGACUGUGACUGACAUUGAGGCUCGAAAGUGUGGGUAUCAAACAGGAUUAGAUACCCCAGUAGUC
rnacentral:rRNA from 1 species